AACGAACGCUGGCGGCAUGCCUAACACAUGCAAGUCGAACGAGACCUUCGGGUCUAGUGGCGCACGGGUGCGUAACGCGUGGUAACCUGCCCUUAGGUUCGGAAUAACUCCCCGAAAGGGGUGCUAAUACCGGAUAAUGUCUUCGGACCAAAGAUUUAUCGCCUUUGGAUGGGCCCGCGUUGGAUUAGCUAGUUGGUAGGGUAAAAGCCUACCAAGGCGACGAUCCAUAGCUGGUCUGUGAGGAUGAUCAGCCACACUGGGACUGAGACACGGCCCAGACUCCUACGGGAGGCAGCAGUGGGGAAUAUUGGACAAUGGGCGAAAGCCUGAUCCAGCAAUGCCGCGUGAGUGAUGAAGGCCUUAUGGUUGUAAAGCUCUUUUACCCGGGAUGAUAAUGACAGUACCGGGAGAAUAAGCUCCGGCUAACUCCGUG
rnacentral:rRNA from 1 species